CUAAGAGCCCUCUGACACUUUUCUGACAAAGUGCAAAAUAAGGUGGUGAGAGACAGGAUAGACAUCAUUGAGAUUCUGAUUCUGCGGAGGCCCUGAAGUCGAUGAGAGGUGAGAAGCAGGUGUGAAUAAUUCAGGCUCCAGGCAGAAGACAAGGCGGGCUAGGGCCUGUCAGGCAAAGGAAGACACACACUCGGAGCUCUGAGAUACCAAAGUAGAUGCUGCGGAGGAAGAAAUAAUUUAUUGCAAACUGGUCUUCAGUAACGAACUACAGAAAUGAUUCCUGAAAGUAUAGUCUUGCAAAGUGGUCUUUAGGAAGGCUUCCCAGAGAAAGUGGAUAAAUCUGGAGAAUAGGAGGGUAAUCCCAAAAAGGAAGAGAAGAAUAAGGAAAGGGCAGGGACAGCCAAGGCCCUCAGGAUAAUAUCUCAUGAGAGCAUGCUGGAUACUGGCAAAGACCUGGUGUGAGUUGAGACUGGCCAGACUGGGCAAGUCUAGAUACUGGAGGAUCUUAAAUGCCAGGAGCAGAGUGGACAGGGUGGUGCUUUUUGGAUGAUGUCAGGUAGGUUGACUCUUCGGAAAAUCCAAGACAGGUCAGGCUUGCGAAUGAAGCCAUCUGGGGAAUAAGGUAAAUAUUGAGAUCAUAGCAGCAUGUCCUGCCUCCCAUAUCAGCAUCAGCUUCCGUAUCAGCAUCAGCAUCACCCAGAGACACACAAGUGAAAUGAGAGGGUGUUUGUCAGUAGUUCCAGAAACCUAAGACAAGCUUGAUAUAUUUCUACUGAAGUGAAAAAGAAAAUGACCAGUGUUUUGUUUAGAGGAGAAAGAAGAGGAGGAGGAGACGCUGGAAUGUAUCGGAGUUUCCACUAGCAUUACCACUUACUCCUCUGGACUCACAGGACGAAGGGACAGAGAAGGCUGCCCCUGCACCAGUACCACCACAGAAGCCUUUCUAGGAUGACCAGUCCUCCCUCAGAUGUCAAAGACAGUACUGAGUGAGCUGAACAGAAUGUCACCACCAAGGGUUCACAAGGAUCUUGGAGCCCUCUCUGACUAUGCAUCUGGGUGAGGACUGGGAUGGGUGGGCAACAGAGGGGGUCCAGAUCAGCAUACGCCCUUGCCACUGGGGCAGGGACAGGUAAAUUCCAUGUUAACUCUUACCUAUGAGGUGGCUCCGGUCAAUUCUCAGCCUCAGUUUUCUCAGCUGCACAGUGAGGGUGCCGGCUGCCUGCAGCAUUGCUGGGAAAGAUGGGAUAAAAUACCAGGAGACAGGGGCUGGUGAGAUGGCUCAGUGGUUAAGAGCGCCAACUGCUCUUCCAAAGGUCCCGAGUUCAAAUCCCAGCAACCACAUGGUGGCACACAACCAUCCCUAAUGAAAUCUGAUGCCCUUUUCUGGAGUAUCUGAGGACAGCUACAGUGUACUUACAUAUAGUAAAUAAAUAAAUCUUUAAAAAAAAAAUACCAGGAGACAGAGAGGCUCACCCAGGGCCCUGCAAAUCUCUUCCCACAGGCACAUGCUCUUCCCACCUCAGAGGAGUAGGGCUGAAAGGGGACUUCCUAAAGCUUGCCGAAGCACAUGCAAAAGGGGCUUACCACUACUGCCAAGAACAGAGCCCAGAAUGGCUUCUCCAGCCACAUCAAACAUUACUAAGGGCAGAGUGCCUUGCCCCACGGCUGAAUGGCUGCCUCUUUCAGAGCUUCUGCUAAGCUGGCCACUCUAGGUUCACUACCUUUAAGAGGCAGGCCCUCUCAGAAGCCUCUUAUCAGGUCUGCUUUAGUGUGAGAAGUCCAGAAGACAGGUUAGAGAACCUGGCAUGAAACCCUCCCCUCCCACCAUACCUGUCUGCUCUGAGCAGGAAAAAAAGCUGGAAGCACAGACCAUCUGUGAGCACACAACACACAGUGCUGACAUAGGAUCUCAGCAUCCUUAUCCCUUGAGAAGGCUAUGUCAUUGCCCCUCAACAGUGAUGAGAUCCAUGCAGAGGUUGGCAGCCACCCACUGUCAGAGAGCCACCUUCAACAUACCAGUUGUCUCUAAGGAAAAGGUGAAUGCUGAGCUACUGGAAACCACUGCAGAUGGGAAGGUCUGGCUCUCUGAAAGGAUUUCAGUUGAUCUCUCUGUCUCUGUCUGUCUCUGCCUCUGUCUGUCUGUCUGUCUCUGUCUCUCUCUGUAUGCUACACAAGCAUGCAUAAAAACACAUCCCAUGCAUGCAACACCAUGGUGCAUAUGUGGAGGCCAGAGGACAACGUUUGAAGAGUCAGUUCUCUCUAGUUUGAGGCAGGGGCUCUGAGUUUUGCAGCUGAGCUGCGUACUUCAGGCCUCCAGCUUCCCAGUGAAGCUGCUUCCCAUCUCACUGAAGAAGAGCUGGGAUCGCUCAUCCCACUCUUUGACUUGGAUUCCAGGUUACUGGACUUGUUCAGCAAGUCCUUUGACCAACCGAGUCAUCUCCUUGGCCCCUUGUUUAUUCUUUUCUUUUUCACACGUAUUAAUUUGGCAGGGGUUGGGGCCCCUGCACAUGCCGUGGUCGUGACAUGCAGAAGUCAGAGAAGACAACAUGUAGGAGUUGGUUCUCUUCCCACCAUGUGAGUCCUGAAGAAUGGAACUCCAAUCAUGCAUUGCAGUGGCAAAUGUCCAUGCUCACUGAGCCAUCUUGCCUCAUAGCACAGUGCUUAGAACAGUGGUAUAGUAAUGGCUCACAAAGCAUGCUUAUCAAAUAGUUGUCAGUGAAAAACAAAUGGAGCAAAAAAGGCAUGGACCGUUGGUACAUCUACCUCCCUAAGCCAAACACUUGAAGGAGGAGUACAGGACUAGAGGCCAGAGGACGACUCGUUAUAGGGACAGGGGCAAGUGAGGGUAAUGAGUCCCCUAACUGCUUCUUUUAGAGCAGCUAGCUCUGUCCUCCAAUCAAGAGUUGAGAGGUUAAAUUAUGUUGUCCCAUGAGGAGGGAGUAAGAAAACUUUCAGGGUACCAGGAGAGUGGGAUAUUGCUGUGACAGACCUGACCCGUGUUGUUUUGGGGAGGAUUGUGAAGAAUUUUGGAACUUGUGCACUAGAAAGCCACUGAGGGUUGACUUGUCUGUAGGGGCUUAGAGAGUGAGAAUGUUGAGAGCAGAACAGAUGGCCGAGGCCUAGCUUGUGAGGUUUCAGAGGGAAGCAAAGACUCUAUGGGGGCCAUUGGUGUGAAGAAUCUAUGGUUCUGGUUAGUGGGAGCUGAAGAAUCAGCUGUGGUGAACAAGGGACCUGAACUGUGGUAAAGUAAAACCUUUGUUUUUCUGGGACAAUGGAUGCUGCUCAGCUAGGGCUGAAGAAUCAGCUGUGAAUAGCAAGAGACCAGCAUCAUUGGGGUGAGGCCUUUCUGGGAAGUGAUACCUCAGGGUCAGCACACAGAAGCUGUGUUCCAGAAGACGUCAAGGUUGUACUUCCUACUGGCACCCAGACUUGGUAGUGUAAGAGUCUCCCAGGGAGUCCUGGCUUUAAAGGCAUGAAGGAGACAUGGAGAACAGCUGAGGCUUGGCACCGCGAGGUCAGAGAGGCCAUUGGCAAAGGUGUAGCCUCAGUGGCAGUGGAAACCCAGGACUGAAGGGGUCACACAGAGAAAAUGAGGUUUGACAUUGGUCUCUCCAUGAAGGGAGACGAAGAGAGGUUACUGGUCAAAGUGCAGCCCAGGUGCAGCAGAAGACCCCAACAUUUCGGAGAUGCCAGUACCAUGGGAUGCCCACCAAGAACAGCAACAGCUGUGGCAGGGAGGAGACCCCUAGAGCCUAGAGGACAAGCUGUGUGUGCUGCAGAAGGGAGAGCUAUAGAAGUGACCCAAGCCCCUUGGAGAAGCCCAGAAGACCGUGAGUCCAGGACAUUGGACGUUGAAUUAUUUACAGUUGGAGUGUGGUUUUGCUUUGUUCAGACUCUGACUGUACGCUGAUUCUUCCCCCUUGAAGUAAGAAAGUAUUUAGCUUAUUAUUUUAUAGGAGCCCACAGUUGAGAAAUGCUGAAUUUUUAAAAGAGAUUUUAGAUUUUUAAAAGAGACUUUGGAUUUUCACAGAGACUGGACCUAUUUAUUUAUUUAUUUAUUAUAUGUAAGUAGCUGUCUUCAGACACACCACAAGAGGGCAUCAGAUCCCAUUAUGGAUAGUUGUGAGUCAUCACGUGGUUGCUCGGAUUUGAACUCACGAUCUUCAGAAGAGCAGUUGGCGCUCUUAACCACUGAGCCAUCUCUCCAGCCCCAAGACUGGACUUUUAAAGUGUUUGAAUUAGUAAAGACUGUAGGACUUUUAAGUUUGUAAUUUUUUUUUUUUUUACAUUUGUGAUAUUUACUAAUCUGAGGUCUUGGGGAUGAACCAAGAAUAGGAUAGGUUAGGUCUUAGAAAAUAUUGUGUGUCAAGUUGACAAGGAACAGUUGUGCUAGUUAAUUUGAUGUCAACUUGACACAGGCUGUUCAUCUGAGAGCAGGGAACCCUAACUGAAAAAAAAAAAAAAUGCUUCUGUAAGAUGAGGGCUGUAGGCAAGCUGAUUGAGCACUUUCUUAAUUAUGAUUGAUGGGGGAGAACCCAGCCCACUGCGGGUGGUGCCAUCCCUGGGCUGGUGGUCCCGGGUUCUUUCUAUAAGAAAGCAGCCUGAGCAAGCCAUGAGGAAGAAGCCAGAAAGCAGCACCCAUCCAGGACCUCUGCAUCAGGUCCUGCCUCCAGGUUCCUGCCCUGUUUGGGUUCCUAACCUGAUUUCCUUCAGUGAUAAACAGUGAUGUGGAAGUGUAAGCCUGAUAAACCCUUUCCUCCCCAGCUUGCGUUGGUCAUGGUCCUUGAUCAUAGCAAUUGUAACCCAACUAAGACAAGUCCUAAUCAAAGUUAGAGAAAGGGGCUGUGAGAUGGCUCAUCGGUUAAGAGCACUAACUGCUCUUCCGAAGGUCCUGAGUUCAAAUCCCAGCAACCACAUGGUGGCUCACAACCACCCGUAAUGAAAUCUGAUGCCCUCUUCUGGUGUGUCAGAAGACAGCUAUAGUGUACUUACUUAUAAUAAUAAAUCUUUUUUUAAAAAAAGUUAGAGAAAGAAUGACCUCCAUUCUGGUGCUCAACUCAUGGAACAAUAAAACAGCUGUGAAAUGAGCCAGCUGUUGCAUUGGGAUUAAUUUGGAUGCAGAGGUUUUGAGCUAAUUAGAAAUGUGUCAAAAUAUUCUUUAGUGACAGCAAAGGAUGCAUUUUAAAAAGAAAUGCAUUAAUAAAGCCAGUAAUCAGUAGAACCAGUCCUAGAGACAAAGUCCUUCUUAAAACCCCCCAUCAUCCUAACUCUACCUUCUCCUUUGCCUCUUUCCCACAGCCUGUAGAGAACUAAGUGACCAAGAUUCUUACAGGAGACCACAUGGCCCAUCAGAAUGCCCAACCAGGAGCUUUCUGUAAUGUAUUGUGCGUUUCUAGUACAGUGCUGACACUCUCAACAUAUGUACUAAAUAUCUAGAUUUGGUAAUUGAGCAAAUAAAAGAAUAGGGACAGUCUGGCUAGCCACGUGCCACCAUUUUCUAUCUCAUAACAAUGUCAAGUAGCCUUUUGAGAUGGUGUAUCCAGUGUCUUCUUUCCUGUUGUGGUAGCAUUUCUAGACUCUUCCUUUCUUCCUUGAGUACUUACCAUGCCAGUCCUAGAGAAUACAAAAGUGAAUAAAAUUUGGUUCUAGCCCCUGAGAGGCCCCUGAAUGAACAGCAGGAAAAGGCACAUAAUCAUAAGAUGAUACGGAUCGAUAAAAGCACAGAGGAGCACCGUCACUAUCCUGAAGUCGUUUGGGAGCUGAGCCUUGGAUGGCAGACUUGCUGUGUCUGGGAGCACAGGAAAUGGUAUACAUGAGUUUACUUUACCAUGGUAAGGACAGUGGUGGUGAUGCCAUGGGCAAGGGACAAUCCUCUGUACCCUAAUAAAUCUGUACGUGUUCAGGAAAGACAAACACACCAGUGUGACAUUAGCAGCUUAUGAGGUAUAGUGAGUAGACUGAAGACUACUGAUUGAGGAUCACAGUAACACUGUAGCCUUCCCAGCAAUGUGUCUAGCCUGGAUUAGGGCAGUGACUGUGGCUAGAGCAGGACAGAAAGAGGGGAGAUGCAAAAGAUUUGCCCAUGGGUGGUGGGUAAGAGAGAGGAUUUCAGAAUAACAUAAAUUUCCUGCCUACUAGAGACGUCCUCUGGUUUAAGGGGAUCGUGAACUGAAAUGAAUUCAGGAGGGAGGGCUGAGAAGUAUCUUCAGUUGAACCUGCGCUCUCUGGGGCUAUCUAAUCUCUGGAAGAAUGCGUGAAUCAGUCAGGUAGAGAUGAAAACUCAGAAGCCUAAGAGACAAACUCAGCACAGAGUGGUUAUCACGUACCCAGCACCCAGGCAUGCACAGAGGCCACACACAUCACACAGUCACAAAGUAUUGGGUGCCUACUAUGUACCUAGGCAUGAGGAGAAGCCAUGCACAUCACAAACGAUGGCUUCUGGAUCCCUGAGUGAGGAUGAAGGACUGUCAUUUUUUCCUAUGUCUGUCAUGCUCUGGAUGAAGGCUCUUAGGAAUACUUAUUUAUCAGGGCUCUUAUCAGUUGGAACAUGGAAAGAGCUGCUAGCCUUUGGCCUUACAAACUUUAGUUCAGGGUCAAAGGGAUCGGGCCUGAGACGAAAGCGAAUGCAAGGUGAAGAAGCCCAGACUCCUGGCCUGCAUUCAUUUAGUCCAAUGGCACCUGUCUUCAUAAAGCUCAAAAGCAGAAAUUAUGGGGAUACUCUGGGCUUGGUAUAUACUUUGGAGCUCUCAUCUAGCCAAGAUUGCCAAGGUAUUCUGAAGUAUAAUUUCUAUUCCCCUACAGGAAGAUGAUGAUAAUGCGGGAGGUGUGUAACACCAGACCCAUGCUGCCUGAGAAUUCAGCAUUCAGAGAAAGUGAGGGUUUUACAAGCCAGUGUUUACAGUUGUGCAUGUCCUCUCUCACUGGAGCCACCUCCAAAGCCAUCAGAAGGCUCAUCAGUCUGGUUUGGAUGCUGAAAUUGCUCACAGUGUCUGGAGCUGAUGCCAGAGCAAAAAAAGACUUUUAAAAAGCAUCAUCCCGUUUUAUCAGCAUAUAAGUAGUUAUAAACCGUGGGGUGUCUCCUCAGGGUAGGUGGUGAUAAACAGCUAGCUGGGCUGGCUGUCGGGACUCGGGGCAUGAAGCUCAGAAGCAGCAGCCGCAGCUAUUUCUAUUCAUGUCUUCUCAUCACUCUCGGCAUCACUGCCCUGUGUCCAUUCUCAGGCUGUCCUUAGUCCACAUGGACACUUCUCUCUCAUCCCCAACAAGAAAAUGCCCGCCUCUGCUUCCCACACCCACAGGCUGUAGUUCUUAGUGGAGGUGCUAUGCCUCUGCAUGGCCCCAGAUCUCAGCCUGCAGUCCAACAAAAGAGGCAGACAAGAGUCUGUUGUUGUUGUAGUUGUUGUCUCUGUCCCCUCCAAGUGCCUGUGUGUAUGGAUAUAUGUGCAGAAAUAUAUGCGGUCUGUUUACUAAAAUUGGACUUCAUACCUUUUCUUAAAUAACUGAUUUCUUUCCUGUAAUUACUAGUUAUUAGUAACACACAAUUGUUCACUAGAGAAAAAAAUAAAAUCUGUAUCUAAUUGUAUUUCCUUCUAUCUCUGAAUCAUUUAUCUUUACAAAGACCACUACCUAAAAGUGGAGGGAGCUGUAGCAAUUGGGAAGUGGGACACCUGCCAUCACCAACCUGGUCAUCCUGGAGAAGUAACACACUUGGGCCUCUUGCAUUUAAAAUGGGACUUUGUUGGUGGGUGUUAAUGCACACUGGUGAUCUCAGCACUUGAGAGGCUGAGACAGGAGGACAGCUGUGACUCUAAAACUAGCCCCACCCCACCCCCACCCUCCAAAAGGGAAGGUUUAGAAAGAUGGCUCACCAGUUAGCAGUAAUAUUGUUCUUGCAAAGGACCCAGGUUAAAAUCCCUGCCAGGCAGUGGUGGCGCACGCCUUUAAUCCCAACACUUGGCAGGCAGAGGCAGGUGGAUUUCUGAGUUCCAGGCCAGCCUGGUCUAUGGAGUAAGUUCCAGGACAGCCAGGGCUACACAGAGAAACCCUGCCCUGAAACCACCCCCCCACACACAAAAAAAAGUAAAAUCCCAGCACCCACAACUAUCUGUAGAGUGCAUUCCUACAUGAAAUAAGUCUUUAAAAGAAGAGCAGUUCUUUGUCUCAAGUGCACUUAAAAUGGCCUUUCUAGGACUGGCAUUUUAAGAUUUCACUUGCUUAGUAUUUAAACGAUUUCCUGUCCUGGAAAGAAUUACUAGCACUAAUCUAGAAUGCACUUUUCUUUGUCCUUUGAUUUCCCCCAACAUCUUACACAUACACACACACACACACACACACACACACACACACACACACACACCUGGAUGAUUUAUAAUAUUCUACUUGAUCAAGAAUCUGGAACCUGAGAUGGGAAGAUUAAGAUUUUCAGUGGUUAAAGUGGUUAAAUGUAAUCAAGAGAGCUGGAUUUCAGAGCUCCAGAUUCCACAUAAAUGCCAGAUGGGGCAUGGCAGCUUGCCUGUAAUUCUAGUGUUGGAAGGAACUGGGAUCCCUGGAGCAAGCCCCGGAGUUCUGGGUUUGAGAGACUCUGCCUGGAAGAACAAGGUGGAACACUGAAGAAGAUUCCCAGUAUCAACCUUGCACCUUGACAUGCAUGUGUAGAGAUAUCUGUGUGAACCUGCACAUAUGUGAACACAAAUACUCAUGAAAAAAAAAAGAAGAAGAAGAAAAAUAAGAACUUGACAUCUUUCAGAUUAUACCAGACCUAGAAAGGAGAUACUGGACAAAAAAUAAUAAUAAUAAUUCAGAAAUUGGGGUGUUCAGGGAUGGCUCUGAGGAGGACACCUGGGGAUGGGAAUGGGAGCAAGUCUUGCACUGCAUAUACUUUUGUGCCUUUUUUCCCUUUCAGUUCCCGGAGAACAGGAGCCCAGUGAUGGGACUGGACCCCUGCUGGACCAUCCCCACUCUCCAGCCUGGAGUUGGCCUGGAGACGUUUGAUGGAUGCACACUGCUACUGGCUACUUGGCUGCAGGCACUCUACUGGGCUAUCAUGCCGCACAGGGAUUCUACUGAGGCACUCUAGCAAAGGGCUGCCUCUCCACAGCUCCUGGACAAGCAGAGUCAGCAAAGGAGAAGCAUACCAACCAUAAAUUCACCGGCCCCUACUAUUUCCUCUCGAAGGCAGAUUGCCUCUUUUUUGCUUUGUUUUCUGAUGAUGUGACAUGAAGAUGUAAGUAUAAAAGAAAAAGAGGUACUAGAGCUAAAGUUGACUGGGGAGAAGGAGAAAGGUUCUAUUUUCCCUGGCCGCAGCCUGCAGUGCGUGGCUCCAUUGACAGAGCCAGGUUGCUGCAUCUCAGACCAACUUCUGUGCCUGUCACCCCCACCCUCCACCUGUAUUGGCGCCCCAUCCGUUUUCCUAAUUAUUGAGCCCUUACCCAGCCUCCUCCUUCUGUCUUCUUUCCUUACCCAGCCUCCUCCUUCUGUCUCCUUUCCUUACUAUAGCCUUAGAUGGCAAUGGCCAUCACUUUUCUGUCCUUGUCUUUCUUUGUCCUACUCUGAUUUCUUUGGUGCCGCUUAUUGCACAGGCACAUGGCCAAGAAACAGCUGCCAUCACUGAGGUCCGUUUCCCAGUCUGGAACUGUCAUUAGUCCACAGCUGAGACUGUUCAAGGGCCCAGAAUCCAUAUUCAAUCUGGAGUGUCCUGGUAGCGAUGAACCCGCUGGUUCCAGAGCCUGUCACUGCAGUGAGUGGACUCUCGGCUGUCUCACCAACUGCACACAAGCCCGAGAGGGCCUAGGCUGUCCUCCCUCCCCCCCCAAGGAGGCUGUGGGGAAUGAGGGCAGGAGGACAAAAAGCUAUGACAAUCAGACAAGCAGCAGCAGACGGGGAUGAGUAUGUGCCAGCGCAGACGCAGACCACAAAGGCACAAGCAGAGAUGGAAAGAUAGAGGACACAGGAAAAACAGCUUCAGGGAGAGACAAAGCAGAGAGCAAAACCCAAUAAAAGUGUAAAGAGCACUAAAGCCAGACAAGCCUGGGGAGAGACCGUGGAGUCAGGUCAACGAGGAGGGCAGGAGGCGCUGGAGUGGCGCUGGAGGCAAGAGCGUUGGAGCAACAUAAAUCUGUUGGGAAGGGUCACUCACCUUCCAAGCUGUUGUGCUUAUUGGCUACAGCAAGCAGAAUCUAUUUAAAACAGACCAGGCACUUUGCCUUAUUCUGUUUCCCUGCCCAGAAAAGGCUGGAGCCAAAGGCUGAGGGAACCAGUCCAGCAGCCACCACAGGUUGAGCGGGAAGAACCCACCCUAUCUCCAAUGACCUCUCCUUUCAUCUCGCUGCCACCCCUAAGCCACCAGGUCACACUCAACUGUUAGCAUACUGAACACAGCCUCCGAGCCUCCAAAACUUCCUUCAAGCUUGUCAGAAGGCAGACGCUGCUCAACUGUGAGGGCUGUUGUAAGGCCACACUCAGGAGGGCUGUUUGACAGCAGGCAUGUUUUAGAGGAGUGAGGGAUUGGGGUGGUCAUAUGGAGGAGAGGAUGCCAGGGAACUGAGAAGACACCAGCAGCGCCACUCCCUUCCCUAAACUGUGUGUGAGUGUCUUCAGAAGUGUCAACUUGAAGCUGACCCCUAACCACCUACCACAGGGGAAGUGCAAAGUUCAGGAGGUGGAAAUGGCCACAGAAAGUCAUACCUGCUUCCUUCCCUCCUGGGGGAGGUGGGAAGAGAACCCCCCCCCCUUCCUGGGCUCUAUGGCCAGGCUGGGAAUAUGGCUCAGUAAGGUUGUAUGAGAUUUAUGUGUGUAGACCUUACUGUACAAAUCAGUUUGCCUGAGAAAUUGGCUUUUCAAAAUAAAUUUGAGGUCAACCCUAUGUUCAAAGAGAAGGAUGGCUUGGGAAAGUGAAGUUAUCCCAGCUCGUGUUUGUAAUUUUUCUUUUUUCUUUUUAUGAUUUUUCAGACAGGGCUUCUCUGUGUAGCCCAGGCUGUUCUGGAACGUGAUCACUCUGUAAACCGGGCUUGGCCUGGAACUCAGAGAUCUGCCUACCUCUGCCUUCCAGGUGCUGGGAUUAAAGGAGUGCACCACUACCGGUUAGCAUGUUUGUAAAUUGAAUCAGAAUGUCUAGUUUUGAAGACCAGGAGAGGACCCUGUGUAGAGACUCGCCUGUAUCUUGGUUUUAGGUUUCAGGGGCUAAGCAUCACUUAGCAGGAAUAUAAGUGGAUGUGCUAUGGGAACUACUACUAAAGAAUGUAGGGAAUUUAGUGGAAAAUUUCAAACAUAUACAGAAUAGGAGGAGCUGGAGAGAUGUUUCAGUGAUUAAGAGCAUUGGCUGUUCUUCCAGAGGACCUGGUUCCAUUUCCAGCACUCAAUGGUGGCUUAUAACCCUUUGUAACUCCAGUUCCCAGGCAUCUGAAGCCCUCUUCUCUCCUCUGCAGGUACCAGGCAUACACAUGGCACACACACAUAUGUGUAAGAAAACACCCAUAAAAAAUUCUAUUCUAUGUGCACAUAGCACCUAUUUGUAGUUAAUAACUUACUAAAAUCAAACUUCAUGAACUGUUCUAUAAUCCCUAAGUGUAGAGAAAUGCUUAGACUCCACUACCAAAUCCUCAGCAACUCUGACUCAGACUUACAGUCUUAGUGACCUCAGCUUGGUGAAUACAUAAUCUUCUGGUCCCUAGAGGUUUGUAACACAAGGACGGUUAAAACUCUUCCUGUUGCCGGGCAAUCCCAGCACUCGGGAGGCAGAGGCAGGCAGAUUUCAGAGUUCGAGGCCAGCCUGGUCUGCAGAGUGAGUUCCAGGACAGCCAGGGCUAUACAGAGAAACCCUCUCUUGAAAAACAAAACAAAACAAAAAAAAAACAAACAAACAAACAAAAAAAACCUCUUCCUGUCCCCUUUUAAAAACCAUACUAGGGAUUGAACCCGGGGCUUCAUGCUAGGCAAGUUCUCUGUCCCUGAGCUAUGUUGCCAAUCUUUAUUAAUUUUUUUUAAUAUUCUUUUAAGAGAGGGUCUUGGUAUGUGGCCCUGGCUGGCUUGGGACUUGCUUAGUAGACAGGGGGAUUCCCAAACGCUGGGACUACUGACACACAACAGGCUGGCCUAAAUUCUAGCCCGUGACAGUUAUAUGGGCAUACACAUCUGUCAAAAUUCAUCAAGCUAUAUCCUUCAAAUGUAUGUCUUCUUCGAAUGUAUGUAUGGCACCUACACUGCACUUCAAUAGGGUAUUAACAAUAACCCCCAGUUCUGUGUACAAGCGAGUCAAAGCACCGCUGGUGUGAGGUGUGCUGGGCAGUCCAGAGGAAGCUGCUGUUUUGAGAGAACAAUGCUCUUUGGGCUUUCGCAAAACUUGUUCUUUGGAACCUGCCACCACAGCAUGUGCUUUUGGUUAAGCAUUCCACAGCUGAAACGCAAUUCUAUGCUUAAAUGCCGAGAGGAUGAGGCAAAAUCUUGGCCAAGGUCAAGCUCUACUGAUGGCUGGAGAGGGGGGCGGCAGCUAAGUGCUCUGCACUUGUGCAACAUUUCAAAAAGAAAAGCUAACCCCAAGCCAUCAUCUGCUCAUUUUCUGAGCCAACUCUGGUCCUGCUCAUUUUAUCCAAGAGCUUAGAGGAAGCCAUAUGUGCUAUGGCGUGGGCUUACAGACCUCCAGGCCCAAACACUGCAGUCUUGGUUUGAGAGACAUUGCGCUAGACCAAGGCUUUCAGUGGGAUAGAGCAGAAGAUUCAGUAAGAGACCCUGUAUAAGAGAGGGCAGAACAAUGUACUCGAUGCUUUUUGGUAGAAACUUGAGACUUCUAUCUUUUUCCAGGUGACUGUGAAAAAGUUUCAAACUAAGCAUAUUGGUACAAAUCUGUGUUUCAAAAAGAAAAACGUCAGCAUCCUCUUUGGGACUGGAAUGAAGCCUGACAGGGACAGAUUAGGAAAUACAUUUUCUAAGUCAGAAGGAAUGACGUUCACAGUGGAGUCUUUACACAGCUAAUAAUGCAAACAUUACCUUUGUCCAUGUCUGUCUAGCUGGUACCCAAGCAAGCGCAAAGGUGAGCAGGACGAAGUCACUGGCAUAGCCAGAAACCCUUCCCAGGCUCCCUGUGAGCUAUUCACAUCGAGGGCUCAUGGAGGCCCCAUGGGUUCUCAACAUUCAUAUAACUGUUUUGUUUUGUUCUUUUAAUCAGAGACUAUUUUUACCUAUUUGGUUUAAUGUCUUCCUUUUAAAGUACUCAAUUUGGUGGGUGAUGGCUUACACCUUUAAUCCCAGCACUUGGGAGGCACAGGUAGGUGGAUCUCUGUGAGUUUGAGGCCAGCCUGGUCUACAGACCUAGUACUAAGACAGCUGUGGCUAUACAAAGAAAGCCUCUCUCAAAACAAACAAACAAACAAACAAACAAACAAACAAACUGUCUUAGUUAGGGUCUUACUGCUGUAAACAGACACCAUGACCAAGUCAACUCUUAUAAGAACAACAUUUAAUUGGGGCUGGCUUACAGGUUCAGAGGUUCAGUCCAUUAUCAUCAAGGUGGGAACAUGGCAAUGUCCAGGCAGACCUGGUACAGGAGGAGCUGAGAGUUCUACCUCUUCAUCUGAAGGCUGAUAAGAGAAGACUGGCUCUCACAUGGCUAGGAGGAGGGUCUUAUUGCCCAUGCCCACAGUGACACAUUUCCUUCAAGGCCAUACCCACUCCAACAAGCCACACAUCCUAAUAGCGCCACUCCUUGGCCAAGCAUAUUCAAACCACAUAAACAAACAAACAAACGUGCCCAAUGCCUUUAAUCGUAACUCUUGGGGACAGAAGCAGCUAGACCUGUGAGUCCAAGGUCAGCCUAGUCUGUACAGAGUUCCAGGCCAGCCAGUGCUACAAGGUGAAAACUUUAAUUAAAAUGGUAGAUGUAGUACAGAAUGCUUGGACCAAGGGGCCUCUCCCUUGGCACAUUAAUCUAGAUAUUAUCAGUAUAAAAAGUUAAGUGAUUAGUACAAAGACCUCCAGCAGACAAUGGGAGAAGAAUAAGGCCAUCAGCCCACUCUUCUCUGAGCCUCCAAUAUAGAUAAACUGAGUACAGAGAAAAAAGCAAACUUCAAAGUUAAGUCUGUUAGUGAACCUUUCAUGCCCACCACCUUUAAAACCACAUAUGCUAAAUCUCCAACUCUCUCAGCCCCAUUGUCUUACGGCUAAGUUCAAAUCUCUUAUUGUUGUUUUCUGUUUUAUUUUUUGUUUUAAACUCAUUUUUAAAAAAAUUAUGUAUAUAGGUGUUUUACCUACAUGUAUGUCUGUGUAGCACUUGUAUGCUGGGUGCCCAGAGGCCAGAAGAACGCACUGGAUUUCUGGAACUGAAGUUCCUGUGUGAACUCCCGCGCAAAUGAUAGGAAUAGAACCCAGGUCCUCUGGAAGAACAGACAGUGCUCUUAAGUGCUGAGUCACCUCUCUAGACCCCUUCUUUUGUUUUUCUGAGACAGGGUGUCAUUCUGGAGUCCAAGCUGACCUCAAACUUGUAGUGAUUCUCCUUUCUCAGCCUCCCAAGUUCCAAAAUACAGGCAUGAACUACCUACCACUUCUGAAUUAUCUCAUUUUGUUUUACUUACUGGUAUGUUCAAUGGUGAGGUUCUGUGCUGGGGAAUGAACCUGGGCCUUACUGUAUGCUAGCAAGCACUCUUCUACUGAGCCGUAUCUUUAGCUCUGGUUUCUGAUUCUUAUCCAGGACUUAAUACCCUGGUGACCUGAGGAGUCAGAUCCCAACUGUGCCCCAACAUGUUGCAGCCUGACAAGGGAGACCUUGGAGAAGCAAAAUAUAGGAAAUCAAUCCAACUCAAAAUUAUCCUGAACCACACACUGUGCUUGAAAUAAUGCUGACUAUAAACUCAGCAGAUUUUUUUAAAAGGGGGAGAUAGAGUUUAUUUAGCUUAUAAUUCCAGGACAUGGUCCAUUAUUAUAGGAAUGUUAAAUCAGGAACUGAAAGCAACUACUUGUAUCUAAAGUCCAAGCAGCAAGAGCACGUGCAAGAUGCUACUUUGUGCUUGUCUUACUUUUCUUCGUUUUUAAGUAGUCCGGGAUUGCAAAACCAGGGAGCGGAGCUGCCCUUAGUGGGCACUGUUCUUCCUACAUUGAUUGUCAUAAUCAAAAUUAUCCCCCACAACCCUGACCACAGGCCAACCUGAUCUGGACAAACUCUCAUUGGGAUGCUUCCCAGGCUGUGUCUAAUUUUUUGUUUUGUUUUGUUUUUGUUUUCGAGACAGGGUUUCUCUUUGUAGCCCUGGCUGUCCUGGCACUCACUUUGUAGACCAGGUUGGCCUCGAACUCAGAAAUCUGCCUGCCUCUGCCUCCCGAGUGCUGGGAUUAAAGGUGUGCGCCACCACGCCUGGCUAGGCUGUGUCUAAUUGACAGUGAUAACUGUCACACUCACUAUGUCAUUUUUUUUUGAAUUCUGACUAAUUGGUGUCAACCUGAUGUUACACCUGCCCCUGGCCCCUUCCCAUCUUUUCUCAGCCACCAUGAGGAAAACAGAUUUUACAUACCCUCUCUGCUAUGAUCAUCUGCCUCACUGUAGGCCCAAAGCAAUGGGUGAUAUUGAGAGAAAGGCAGCUAGUUACCUUUUCAUCAAGGGAGAGAAAUCCCAGGAAAUGGAAAUUAAGUGUUUUAGGUUCAGUUUGGAGGAUGUACUACCUUUCACAAUAAAAAGUGGCCUUGAGGGCUUGGAGAGAUGGCUCAGAGGUUAAGAGAACCGACUGCUCUUCCAGAGGUCCUGAGUUCAAUUCCCAGCAACCACAUGGUGGCUCACAACCAUCUGUGAUAAGAUCUGAUGCUCUCUUCUGGUGUCUUUGAAGAAAGCUACAGUGUACUCACAUAAAUAAAGUAAAUAAAUCUUUAAAAAAAAAAAAGUGGCCUUGAAGGCAACAUAUACAUUAGCAAAGCCACAACCUACGUCGCAGAAACUAGGUUAUAGAAGCAUUCCUUAGUCCCAUAUAGAGAAAGUCAGAUCUUGAUUAUCUCUAAAACAAUGAUCCAUUUGGUCCAGUUACCCAGAGCAUUGGGACCACCAAUCAGAGACGGCCAUAAAGUAACAAGGAAAUGUGAUCAGUGCCUUUCCAGCAUGUCAAAUGGCAUGCGGCCUCAGCGGGUCACCACUGCAUCUCCAUGCAGGAGGCAGGAAAGGGUGCUGCUGCUGUGGGUCAUGGGUUGUCUGCUGGCAUCACCAUCACUGUGCUCCAGGACUGGGAUGGGAAGAGUCCAACAUAGGGAACUUGGCAAGAGUCAGAAGAAUAAGCUAGAUCCAAAAUAAAAGCUGAAGUAGUUUUAUAUUACUCAUGUUGUGUUGUCUUAGCAAGAUUCACCCUCUUUCUAGCCUCUUUUUGCACAUUUCUCUCAAGAAAAAUGGAUUUUUUUUAAGAUCUAAAAAUUACCAUUGUACAAUUUUUGAAAACAACAACAAUGUGGGGGAGGGGGGAAUCAUUUAUUUUCUUUUCGAUGCAAAAGCAAGAGGCUUAUUUUCCAGCACGUUUGGGUUGACCUUCAAUUAGUCCCUCAAGGCAAGUGACUAGAAGGGCCCCUGCCCCUCCCCAUUCGUUUCAAAUACAUAAUAAUUAGUAAGCUAUCAAAUCUUUGGGGGAAAUUGCUCCCCUGGCUCCACUUGCUCACUCCCAUUCUUGGGGAGUGUCCCUUAAUAAACCAUGAGAAGGCUCAGUGGCUCAGUGGGAAGAGGAAACUUAGCACCAUGCCAGCUGGAUCCCAGGGACUCUCACAGCAGAAGGAGAGGACUAUCCUGAGCUUGUCUGUCAUACAUGAACCCAUGCACAUACAAACAGCCCAUAUACAAAAAUGUAAAGUACAUUUUAAAUGAGACCUAGUGAAGAAAAUUAAAAGAUAAACAAAUGGAAAAAAAAUCCUGGAAGCAAGGUAAAUCAGAAUUCAAUGUUUAAAGAGGUCAAAUAAGAAGCUAAACUGAAGUAGUCUCUGCCUGCUGGGUUCCUAAGAGCUGAGAAUGGGGGUAUUAAGCGGGCUUUAUUUCAACAAAACACAUUUUGUCAUCUGAUCCGUCCGUGACAUGGGUAAGAAUAAGUAACUUAUGGCUGUAUUCUUAAAUGGUAGAAAAUCCCUGGAUGUGUGCUUCAUUCACUUUACAAUGGCAAGUUAUUAAACACAGAUCUAUUUUCAUAAAAGAAUCCAUCUAUAACCUUAUUUUAAA